CAUCUUGUCGUCUUUCCUGCUGGCAUGGAGCCCCCAAACCUUGUCCUGGUGAGCGUCAAGCGUCUUCACACACUCAUUGGUCUUGAUGGUCCAAAGCUUCACCAAACCGUCAGAGCCGCUGCAGAGGGAGCAUCGCACUGUCAACUCUUGAGAAGAAAUGAACUUGGCAAUGUCACCAAGCAAGAUUCCAUGUGAUGAAGGUGCUUUUAUUUUUUAACCCAGAACAUCGACGGGAGAGGACAAAAGAAUUUCUAAGGAAUUAAAUAUCAAGUUCUUUCCUGAAAGUGGAAUUUUAAAACGCGAAACCACGGACAACAAACGACACAUUGUUGAGUGAAAGGAAUUAGUCAAGAAAGGAUUUAGCUCUUUUGACUCAAAUAUCAUUCAAGUGAUAAUGCUACACCUUUUUUCCCACAAAUUCUUACUGGGGUGGAUACUGAAACGUCACUGAGUGGCAUUUCAAUACAAUGGCUGGAAAAGGCUAGAUUGAGCAAAUAGUUUUCACAUGAGAUGCAGGAUAUUUGUAAUGUUGCAAUGAUAGAUUUUCGACCUCCAAAUGAUUCUAUAGUUGGCAUAUUUGAUAUUUGCUAUUGUGCUUUAUUAAGAAAUCCACUGUUGCAAGCAGGUCUGAUAAUGCCACUUGACUUAAAAUAAACCCCCAAAACGCCUACUCUGAAA